CAGCAGCCGCGGUAAUACGAGGGGGGCAAGCGUUGUUCGGAAUUAUUGGGCGUAAAGGGUGCGUAGGCGGUUUGGCAAGUUUGGUGUGAAAUCUUCGGGCUCAACUCGAAGUCUGCAUCGAAAACUGCCGGGCUUGAGUAUGGGAGAGGUGAGUGGAAUUUCCGGUGUAGCGGUGAAAUGCGUAGAGAUCUGGAGGAAUACCGAUGGCGAAGGCAGCCAUCUGGCCUAAUACUGACGCUGAGGUACGAAAGCAUGGGGAGCAAACAGGAUUAGAUACCCGGGUAGUCCCUGUCUCUUAUAC
rnacentral:rRNA from 1 species